CUUUUUAGCAUGAGUAUUUCUCAUGCAAUAUUGGCUACAUACUUACACUUAAAAAAAAUUGUUACCUGAAAUUCAAAUGUAACUGGAUGCCCUGUGUUUUAUCUGGUAAUCCCAGUCUUGGAAGGAAAAGGAUCAAAUACGAACCCCCUAAUUCUCUGAGCCUUCUUGGUCCAGCCUACACAGCUGGAAGCCCAAAGGUGGCGCUCUUGGAGUCUGACCUCCCCUGGCACAGGGUUUGAGAUGGUCUUUACCCAGCUCCACUGGCCCAAAAGUAGCCCAUAGACCCAAAAGGGGCCUAGCACCUCUCCCCAGGGCAUCAGGAUGGGGCCCCAGGUCCCCAACUGGUUGUCCUGUGGACCUCAGGGAAUGACGACGCAGGAGUCAAGAGCCUCGGUUGCAGCUCCCGCUGUGCCGCCCACGACUGGCUCCGGGGUCAGAUGAUCUGCUGGUUCAAAUCCUGACUCAGCCUCCUACUAGCCAGGCCAGUCUCUAGACCCCUCCCAGCCUCCAUGUCCUCACCUGAGAAAACAGGGUCACAAUACCUGCCUUGCCAACGUGAUGAGGACCAGCGGAGAAGGUGAAAGGGCUUAUAUUCCAAAGCCCACAAGGUUGAAGAUGCACACCCGUGACACAGCCUCAGGAUGUCCUGACGACAUGUGCCAAGGUGGUCAUACGUUUUAGGGAGACAUGAGACAUCAAUCAACACAUGUAAGAUGAACAUUGGUUCAGUCUGGAAAAGGCCGGGCAACGCCAAGCAAAUGUGGGACAACUCGCAGCCAGGAGAAAGCUUCCAGGUCACAGUAUUUUUGACUUACCACGUGUUUAUUGGGACGUAACCCCUUCCUAAGAUGAAGAGCAUCUGUAUACAUCCAGAAUCCUGUGGAGCAACUCAUAACCCAUGAGGAAUGGAAGCCGACAGACAGACUCAUCCCCAGGACAGGUGGUUCUCACUACAUCUCAUAAAGCUUCUUAGAAGAUCUUACAGGAUUGAGCAACCAGCCAGCCACAGCAGGGGCCAACUGGAUAACACGUCUUUGCAUAGGCUCUCCCUCUGUCCCUGUCACCCUCCCCUUUUCCUAACCUUGUUCCUUGGGAUUAUGUUUUGAAAUAAAUUAUUCAGAGAAAUGAAGCCAAAGCUGACCCAUUAGCCAAUAGCUAGGUUCUGUGAUGACAGAGCUUCUGGGCUAUAAUCGUUUACUGAGAAGCCAGCGUUCCUGAGGGGAUAAUGGCUCGUUCCAUUCAGCUGCAGCAUAGGAGUGAGGGCAGGGCAUUAGCAGAAGAUAACACCAGAAACGUGCUCUGGGGCCUGUUGAUGACUUUCUGUGCCAAGCACAGACAUUUAGCCUUUAUUCUGUAUGUGAUGGGAAGCCAGUGCCAGUGGUGGGUUUGAGCAGGGAACCAGCAACCAGUGGUGGGUUUGAGCAGGGAACCAGCAAUACUCAAGCUCUGCUUGGAUGGAGGCCAGUCAGGGAGGAGUUAGGGCAGGAGGACCAGUCAGGGAGGAGACUUAGGGCAGGAGGACCAGUCAGGGAGGAGACUUAGGGCAGGAGGACCGGUCAGGGAGGAGACUUAGGGCAGGAGUACUGGUCAGGGAGGAGACUUAGGGCAGGAGGACCGGUCAGGGAGGAGACUUAGGGCAGGAGGACCGGUCAGGGAGGAGACUUAGGGCAGGAGGACCGGUCAGGGAGGAGUUAGGGCUGGAGGACGGGUCAGGGAGGAGACUUAGGGCAGGAGGACCGGUCAGGGAGGAGUUAGGGCUGGAGGACCGGUCAGGGAGGAGUUAGGGCAGGAGGACUGGUCAGGGAGGAGACUUAGGGCAGGAGGACCGGUCAGGGAGGAGACUUAGGGCAGGAGGACCGGUCAGGGAGGAGACUUAGGGCAGGAGGACUGGUCAGGGAGGAGACUUAGGGCAGGAGGACAGGUCAGGGAGGAGUUAGGGCUGGAGGACGGGUCAGGGAGGAGUUAGGGCUGGAGGACCGGUCAGGGAGGAGUUAGGGCAGGAGGACAGGUCAGGGAGGAGUUAGGGGAGGAGGACCGGUCAGGGAGGAGUUAGGGCAGGAGGACGGGUCAGGGAGGAGUUAGGGGAGGAGGACUGGUCAGGGAGGAGUUAGGGCUGGAGGACCGGUCAGGGAGGAGUUAGGGCAGGAGGACCGGUCAGGGAGGAGUUAGGGCUGGAGGACCGGUCAGGGAGGAGUUAGGGCAGGAGGACCGGUCAGGGAGGAGUUAGGGCAGGAGGACCGGUCAGGGAGGAGACUUAGGGCAGGAGGACUGGUCAGGGAGGAGUUAGGGCUGGAGGACCGGUCAGGGAGGAGUUAGGGCAGGAGGACUGGUCAGGGAGGAGUUAGGGCAGGAGGACAGGUCAGGGAGGAGUUAGGGCAGGAGGAUCGGUCAGGGAGGAGUUAGGGCAGGAGGACCGGUCAGGGAGGAGUUAGGGCAGGAGGACCGGUCAGGGAGGAGUUAGGGCAGGAGGACAGGUCAGGGAGGAGACUUAGGGCUGGAGGACUGGUCAGGGAGGAGUUAGGGCAGGAGGACCAGUUAGGAGGCAGUGACUUAGGACUUCAGCAGUGGCACUAGAAAGGGGAUGGAUAUGAACGACAUUGCAAAGUAAAACUAGAGAGACGGCCGGGCACAGUGGCUCACUCCUGUAAUCCCAGCACUUUGGGAGGCCAAGGCGGGUGGAUCAUGAGGUCAGGAGAUCGAGACCAGCCUGGCCAACAUGGUGAAACCCUAUCUCUACUAGAAAAAAAAAAAAAUAGCCAGGCGUGGUGGCGGGCGCCUGUAAUCCCAGCUACUCCAGAGGCUGAGGCAGGAGAAUUUGCUUGAACCAGGGAGUCGGAAGUUGCAGUGAGCUGAGAUCGCACCACUGCACUCCAGCCUGGGCAAUAGAGUGAGACUCCGUCUCAAUAACAAAACAAACAAACAAAAACCUAGAGAGACUUGGCACCUUGCAGAGAGAAGCAAAAGAUGACCCUGAGGUCUGGAGUCCAGGAAGCCAAGGACAGCAAAAGCAUCCACAGAAACAGGAAAAGGGCAGGUGUGGGAGGGAAGGUGAGAGGUUCAUCAGACCUCACAGCCCCUGGCAGCGCCUCCUGGAUCUUUGAAAUCCUGUGCACCCCAGGAGACUCCGGGAGGCCCAUCUGAGCUCACCGGAGACAGGUCUGCCGUCUCUCCUCUCAUCACUGGGGACAGAAAGCCUGAACAUGAGGCCUGGACUACGGGGCUCAGACCAGAAUAUUUCCAGACUUAAGGGCAGUAAUGUGGAGCCCAGGAAGGAAUAUUGAGGACAGAGGGCACAUUACUUAGCUCAAGGGGUGCUGGGUUCUUAUUUUCUACUUUCAAGAAAUGUUUGCUAUAGUCACUGUAACCACCACAAAACAGUGAAUAAUACCAUGAGCCAAAUGUAUGUUUCACAAUUUGUAUGGCUGAUUCUACGCACAUUUAAAUGUGUUUAUGACAAUUGUAGAUUUCGGUUUUCCUCUGG
rnacentral:lncRNA from 10 species